rnacentral:lncRNA from 1 species
GAUGAUCCAAGGCCUGGUUAUUGGGAGACUAAGCACCCGUUUUCCAGAGGAAGCCCUGCUGAGAUCCAGUGUACUAGUCUUUGCUGUUGUGGGCCUGGGCAUGUCUCUGUGCUCUCAACAUAGUCACAGACAGCAUGCUGACCAAGGCUGUAUCUGCUUCAGACACAGGGACCAUGUUGGGCCUCUGUGCAUCUGUGCAUCCAUUGACCCGUACUGUAGGACCCACCCUGGGUGGCCUGCUGUACCGGAGCUAUGGUGUCUCCAUCUUGGGCCAUGUGCAACUCAUGGUGAACUUGCUUGUCCUAUUGGUCCUCUGGAAGAAACCAUUGUCCCAGAAGGGAGACAAAGCCCGGUGACCACAAAACCCAACGACCUGGCCCAGUCAAGCAAUAAACUUAAGAACCUCUUCUUCUUAA